GUCAGAAUUCGCCGAGCGGUCUAAGGCGCCGCGUUCCGGUCGCAGUCCACUUCUGUGGGCGUUGGUUCGAAUCCCACUUCUGACA